CACCGUUUGCUAAGCGGAGGACAUUA
rnacentral:rRNA from 1 species